CGCUAUAGCUCAGCCGGUAGAGCAACUGAUUCGUAAUCAGUAGGUCGGAAGUUCGAUUCUUCUUGGCGG
rnacentral:tRNA from 1 species